AUACGGAGGGUGCAAGCGUUAUCCGGAAUCAUUGGGUUUAAAGGGUCCGUAGGCGGAUAAUUAAGUCAGGGGUGAAAUCCCACAGCUCAACUGUGGCGCUGCCUUUGAUACUGGUUAUCUUGAGUUAUAGGGAAGUAGAUAGAAUAUGUAGUGUAGCGGUGAAAUGCAUAGAUAUUACAUAGAAUACCGAUUGCGAAGGCAGUCUACUAUCUGUAUACUGACGCUAAGGGACGAAAGCGUGGGGAGCGAACAGGAUUAGAAACCCUAGUAGUCC
rnacentral:rRNA from 1 species